rnacentral:misc_RNA from 1 species
GCCGUCUUGUCCCUCGGCGCCAUAUGGAAUAAUUAAGGGUAGCAAGUGGUGGUUCCUAUUUUGUAAAGGGAAAAUAAAAUAAGAGGGGAGCUGAUAGCUUGGAAAGGAGAAGAAAAGGGUGGUUUUAUAUAGAGUGGGAGGUGGAUAGGGGAGAGGAAUCGGCGAGGAAUUGAAGGUGGGGGCACACAGUCAACCUGUGAUUUGACUGAGAGGGGCGGCUGGCGAUGGAGGAUUACGUGGCAUGUGGGAUGUCGAGAGAGCAAAGGGUAUGAAGGGUAUAUUUGGGAGAAAAUGGAGCGUAUAUCAUCCAACGGCUGUAAGCUUACAGUGAUUGAGUGCGGUCGGGUUCUCUCGCUCUCACACGCUCUCUUUAGAGCGUGCAGAAAAAAUAAAUGGGUAAUUAUUAAGGGGCGCGUGAGGGCGGCGAUGAAGGAAGCGAAGGUGGUAAUAAGGAGGUUGAAC